rnacentral:tRNA from 1 species
GCGUCCUUAGUGUAACGGAUAGCACGCGAGAUUUCGGUCCUUGCGAUCUCGGUUCGAUUCCGAGGGGACGCA